rnacentral:rRNA from 1 species
UACGUAGGGGGCGAGCGUUGUCCGGAUUCAUUGGGCGUAAAGCGCUUUAAGGCGGUUCGCUAAGUCGCGUGUGAAACCUCCAGGCUCAACCUGGAGACGCCACGCGAUACUGGUGUGACUAGAGUUCGGUAGGGGAUCACGGAAUUCCUGGUGUAGCGGUGAAAUGCGCAGAUAUCAGGAGGAACACCGGUGGCGAAGGCGGUGAUCUGGGCCGACACUGACGCUGUAGAGCGAAAGCGUGGGGAGCGAACAGG